GUGGGGAAUAUUGGACAAUGGGCGAAAGCCUGAUCCAGCCAUGCCGCGUGUGUGAAGAAGGUCUUCGGAUUGUAAAGCACUUUAAGUUGGGAGGAAGGGCAGUAAGUUAAUACCUUGCUGUUUUGACGUUACCGACAGAAUAAGCACCGGCUAACUUCGUACCAGCAGCCGCGGUAAUACGAAGGGUGCAAGCGUUAAUCGGAAUUACUGGGCGUAAAGCGCGCGUAGGUGGUUUUGUAAGUUGGAGGUGAAAUCCCCGGGCUCAACCUGGGAACUGCCUCCAAAACUGCAUGACUAGAGUACGGUAGAGGGUAGUGGAAUUUCCUGUGUAGCGGUGAAAUGCGUAGAUAUAGGAAGGAACACCAGUGGCGAAGGCGACUACCUGGACUGAUACUGACACUGAGGUGCGAAAGCGUGGGGAGCAAACAGGAUUAGAUACCCGAGUAGUCC
rnacentral:rRNA from 1 species